AGCGCGUUACCGCAGAGACAUAGCGCGUGUGGAGGCUUCACGCUAUUCUCUGCGGCAUCCACGCACAACUCACCACACGCCCCACCGAGAGCGAGAACCACAUUAUAGCGACCGCGAGUCACCCCAUGUGACUCUAGCCUCCCUAGCAACUGGGCCAAUUUGGUUGCUUAGGAGACCUGGCUGGAGUCACUCAGCACACCCUGGAUUCGAACUCGUGAAUCCAGAGGUGGUAGUCAGCAUCUUUACUCGCUGAGCUACCCAGGCCCCUGUCCAGUUCCUUUUAAGAUUUCUCAUCUAGAAAGUUACAAAGGGAAAAGUACCAGGACUGUAGGCUGGAAAGGGGCUAUAUCAAGGAAAUUAUGGCUCAUGGCUGUGAUUAAACUGAAGUCUAUUGGCUAUUUAAAAGACAGGGACAAGCCAUUUGAUAUGUCCUGCUGCCCCAACUUCAUGUUUUAACAGGAAACACAUCAACUGGGGAAAAAACUGUACUUGUCAAGAAAUUUCAUUUCCCUCUCUAAGCCCUGGUGUAAAUUCUCCCUAGGUAAGGCGUGAAAGGAAGUCAUACUCAAAAUGCAGAUUUAAAGAUAACAAAGUAGAUCUGGUAAAUCUCCUGUUGAUGGUUGGCAAUUUGUCCUGUGUGAAAGUCCGGUAAGAAUAUUUGUUUCAAAUACUAUGUCGUCUAUUUGGAUUUUUCUGUGCUAUAUGCUUUUUCUAAAGCCUUUAUGCAUGUUAGUGCAGGGGUUUUCAAACCGGGGUCUGGGGACCCCCAGGGGGCUGCAAGAGUGUGGAAGGGGGUCUGCAAAAAAAUUUACAGGAAAAAAAAGUACAAAUUUUGACAUUGUUAAAAGUUAUUACAGUUUCAUUCUGAAACCAUGAGAUUAAUCAUGAUUAUUUUAUUUUAUCUUUUGAAACCAUAGCGUCUCAUUGGAAUAAAUUGAAAACACUCACUUGGCUUCACAGUCACACUCACAGUGUAAGCCAGUCGACACAUACGGUUAGAAAUAAAAACAAUUAUAUAUUCUGACAAAAACAUUUCUUAUUUGUAAAAAUCUGGGUCAUACCUCACUUUUCUCUAUUCACUAUUUUUAUUGUGAGAGUGCAAAGUGCUAAACAAAUAAAUUUGAACUGAAUUUAAAGUGUUUCUCUUCAGUUAUAACAUUUUAAAUUACUAUAAUAAAAAACGACACAGUGUCAAAUUAAUAAAAAGUACACAUUCACUGAGCACUUUAUCAUAAACACCUGUACACCUGCUUAUUCAUAAGAUUAUCUAAAAAUGAUUCCUUGCUUUAGCAAAUAUUGCUCAUUAAAAUAAACAGAUUUUACUGAAAACAUAAUGCUGUCAACUUUCCUUUAUUAUAUGCUAUAUUUGUGACACAAGAUAUUGAGAUUAUGCUGUACUCAUAAUAAUAAAGAAACUUUGCUAAUUAUUUUGAGUGAAGCAACAAUAAUCUGAAUUUCAGUAAACCCAGCCUAAUUUUUUAAGAUUCCAUGGGAAACCACGUGAUGCAGAAUGUGAUUGAAUUUUAAGCAAGUUUAUUUGGGGCUGGCUGCCGCUUUGGAUGAGGAGAGCUCGUGGUGGACAACACAAAGUUUUUGCCAAAAAGUUCACAGGUAAAUUACUUUAAACAUAGUGUGAAAUCAGUAGAGUUUUUUUUUUUUUUUUCUGUUGCUAUCAAUUUUCUGUGUAUUCAAGUUUCUAUUUGCUUAAAUAAGUUGUUAAUUUACGUUACGUUUGCAAAACUACAGUAUAUUAAAUGUUUGUUUGCAUGAGGCUAAUUAGAUGUGUACAUCUUCACAGUCGAACAAACACAAAGGAGCCCGCACAUUUUUUCACCAGGCAGAUACUCUUCAUCUUCACCUACAACUCCUCAAACUCAGCAAACAACAGUGGUGGAGAAUUCUCGCAGAUUUUUCACCGGAGAGACAGUUCAUCUUCAACUCAUCACUCACACGGCAGAAACUCAGCAGGCAACAGGAUAGGGUAAUUUAAAUUAUAGUCCUGGCAGGUCUACAACUAUAACUGAAAGAAGAGUCAUCAGAGGUUUUCAAGGCAAAAAAAAAGGAAGAGCAGCUUGACCAAGCACAGAAAGGAGCAGAUGCCAUCAGUGCUUUGGAGCAGGAAGAGCAAAAGUUGCCUUUCAACCCCCUGGAUGUAUUGAUUGUCCUUAAAAAUGAGCAGGGGACAUUUGUCAAAACUUAGGUCAGUGUACUGACUUUUUGGGCUACUUUAUGCCCUUCACAUCAGCUACUCAAAAAGCUGACACUUUAUAUUUUUGAGGUCAUAUAGUAAAUAGCGUUGCAUCUUGAUGAUGGCAAUGUCUGGCCAAGUUGAAAGGAUCUUUUGAAUGAAUAGUUUCAUUUAUAAAUACAAAUUGUUUCUGGUGUUUUUGUUACAGUAUUAGUUCAGAGAGUUUUCUCCUACCUGCGUAUAUUUCUGCAGUGUGCAGUCUGUUAAAAUGUAUUUUGAAUUGCGUUUAUUUAGAUAUACUGAAAUUCUUUAAGUCAUUGCAUAGCCCACUUGUUUUUAUGUUUUUUGUUUAUCGUCAUGAUUUUGUUACUAUUUUUGUAUUUGAGAAUGUAUUUUGGU